rnacentral:rRNA from 1 species
AGCAGUCGCCGCGGGAAUACAGAGGGUGCGAGCGUUAAUCGGAUUUACUGGGCGUAAAGCGUGCGUAGGCGGCUUCUUAAGUCGGAUGUGAAAUCCCUGAGCUUAACUUAGGAAUUGCAUUCGAUACUGGGAAGCUAGAGUAUGGGAGAGGAUGGUAGAAUUCCAGGUGUAGCGGUGAAAUGCGUAGAGAUCUGGAGGAAUACCGAUGGCGAAGGCAGCCAUCUGGCCUAAUACUGACGCUGAGGUACGAAAGCAUGGGGAGCAAACAGGAUUAGAUACCCCAGUAGUCCUGUCUCUUAUACA